rnacentral:lncRNA from 1 species
CUGCUCUUCCUUCGUCCAUCCUCGCUGCCUUGGACCUUUCUUUAACCCGCGCCAAAGGAAGGAUGGAAGAAAAGGCACGUGGUCAGAAAUCCCCUGGGAUAGACAGGUCUCUCCCUCCGCACUUCGCGGUGUAACUGCCUGGCUCCGCUUUUAAUAUAUAUGGAAUUAAAUGGUAUGUGACUUGUAGGACGUGGGGCGCACAGCUGCCGGACACGCUGAGCCCCGGCACCCCUCUUCCCAAUAGUAAUGACUGUGGUGCCAAACGGUGGGCCCGUUCUCAGCAGUUUCGUACUUCUUAAGCUUAGGAAGACCUUAAGCUGAGCUUAAGCGGCGACCCUCUUAUAGCCCAGAAACAAAGCAAUAAAUGGCCCUGCUGAGCGUGUGUCGACUGCCUUUCCUUCCACAGUCAGCAUGGGUCUGCCUCCAUCUAUAUGCCAAUCCAGAGUGUGCCAUAUUGCCAUUGAUUGGUGGGACACCCUCCUGCACCAGAGCUGGUGGAAGAGCCUCGUUUUAUGUACACCAGCCUUGGAUGUCUGUGGGUUGGUUUUUUUUGCCAAAGACUACUGUGCCAAAGUAUUGUACUGCCAGCUCUUUGAAUGCUCUUUGCACAGCCCCCUGCAAAGACUUGAGAACUUACCUUCACAAUGGAGUCAAGUUGCCCUUUGAACUGCAGAAGGGACUUUUGAUACUGAAUCUUUGUGGUGGAUUUUCAUAGGCACAGCCCAGUCUUGUACUGUGUUUUCUUCAGUACUCUCUGAUGGCUUCUCUGCCCUGUAAGGCUUACUUAGUAAAAAGAAAUCUGUCAAGACCAUUGCUGAUCCACAACUGCUAAGCUGUGCAAACAAGCUGAUGUUCCUUUUGGACCCUCUUCUCUAAGAAGCUUUAGCUAUGGUUAAUUUGUGCAAAUGUGUACUUGUUUACAAGAAAAGUGAGAACUGCGGAGAUUUUUUAUAAUAAAUAUUGAUUUAUUUAAAAAGUGUACCAUGGCUGAUUUUUGUAUGGUCUAUUUGGCUAUCCUGACAUGGGUUUGAGUGCUGUGCUUUAUGAUGCAGAAGUGAAGCUGCAGAGCUCAGCCUGCCCUUCCUCCAAGAGCAGGUUUUCAGAUUAGGCUCUUGGGUUUUCUUGUCUCCAUUUGUUCUCUAUAACUCCAUGGAGAUUACCGGUACUUGCAUUAUCCUUUAUCUAUUACAGUUUCAGUAGAUCUGCGUACAUAGCACUUAGGACCUGUUCUCUA